rnacentral:lncRNA from 1 species
GCGGCAGUGACUUCGCCGCUGCUGUAGUUCCCCGGCUGGAUGCGGUGACUGGUGCCAGUGCUCAGGCGCCCGCUGCCCUUGACCUCCCGCCCCGCGAGCCCUAACUCAGCGCAGGAGGACCGGCUGCCGCCGCCGCCGCCGCCAGAGCCUUGGCUGCCCAGUUGCCAGUCCUACCACGGUCGGAGGUAACCUUCCUGGCUCCAGUCACAUGGCCAGAUAAGGUGGUGUGUGUGGGCAUGAAUUAUGUGGACCACUGCAAAGAACAGAACGUGCCCGUGCCCAAGGAGCCCAUCAUCUUCAGCAAGUUUGCCAGCUCCAUCGUGGGGCCCUAUGAUGAGGUGGUCCUCCCACCACAGAGCCAGAUCCACACAACUUAAAGAUCUGCUGUCGAGUGAAUGGGGAAGUGGUCCAGAGCAGCAACACCAACCAGAUGGUAUUCAAGACAGAGGACCUGAUAGCCUGGGUGUCCCAGUUUGUUACCUUUUACCCAGGGGAUGUCAUCCUGACUGGGACCCCCCCACCUCCACCCAGGUGUCGGUGUAUUCAGGAAACCUCCUGUCUUUCUCAAGGUCUCUGAAGGUCCAGACAGCACUGAUGGCGAGCUUUGGGUCCGCACACUCUGGAAAGAAGAGAGAAGUGAAGGCUCUAGGAACUGGAACAGCUGCUCUGUGUAGCCCAACUCUGCAGAAGAGAGAAGACCUAGACCUGGCACCCAGCACAGACACAGCCUGCCUCGAGGACUGCAAGGGAACAAGGGCCUCACCAGUAUCGGGCAGCUGGCCCUGGCGGAGGAAGGCGGCAGCCUGUGCAAAGGCCUUGAGCAGCGGGCUGAGCAGGCGGCAGAGGAAAAGAAAGAAAUCUGGGCAGUGUGACUGCUGGCUGAGCUGGAGGGGACAGGCCGGGGUGAGUGCAGCUCCCCACCGCCUCCCUACCACCUCCCUCCAGGGGCAGCUUUUUGAAACACACCCUGAAGUACCGGCCGUCAGCCUCUCCGAAGUCAUCACUGUCACUAUCAGUAAAGUCCCCACUCGGUUUCC